CCUACGGGAGGCAGCAGUGAGGAAUAUUGGUCAAUGGGCGGAAGCCUGAACCAGCCAAGCCGCGUGAAGGACGAAGGUCCUACGUAUUGUAAACUUCUUUUGUCAGGGGACAAAGUCCGGUACGAGUCCCUGAACGAGGGUACCUGAAGAAAAAGCAUCGGCUAACUCCGUGCCAGCAGCCGCGGUAAUACGGAGGAUGCGAGCGUUAUCCGGAUUUAUUGGGUUUAAAGGGUGCGUAGGCGGGCUGUUAAGUCAGCGGUAAAAGCCCGGGGCUCAACCCCGGCGAGCCGUUGAAACUGGCGGGCUGGAGUUGGCGAGAGGUAUGCGGAAUGCGCGGUGUAGCGGUGAAAUGCUUAGAUAUCGCGCAGAACCCCGAUUGCGAAGGCAGCAUACCGGCGGCGAUCUGACGCUGAGGCACGAAAGCGUGGGUAUCGAACAGGAUUAGAUACCCCUGUAGUC
rnacentral:rRNA from 1 species